rnacentral:rRNA from 1 species
UGGAAAGGAAAGAUGGCCUCUUCUUGAAAGCUAUCUGCGAAUGAUGGGCCUGCUCGUCAUUAGCUUGUUGGUGAGGUAACCGAUCACCAAGGCUGCUAAGACUAUCUGGUCUGAGAGGAUGAUCAACCCCCCUGGCACUGUAACACGGGCCACACUCCUACGGAAGGUAGCACUGUGGAAUAUUGUCUAAUGCGCGAAAGCCUGACGCAGCAACACCGCGCGAUUGACUAAAGCCUUCUUUUCUUAAAGCUCUGUCGAGACGGACUAAACACCUGUGGGAACAAUACCUCGCCGGUUUGACGGUACCUCCAAAGGAACCACCGGCUAACUCCGUGCCAUCCGCCCCGGUACUACAGACGGUGCAAUCGUUGUUCGCACUUACUGAAUAUAAAGGGCGUGUAGGCAUAUCACGACUUCGGUUGUGAAAUCCCUGUGCUCCACCCAUGAAGUGCUCCCGAAACCAUUGGUCUUGAGUUCCAUAGGGGAGCGGAGAAUUCCCAGUGUACAGGUGAAAUUCGUAGAUGUUGGCAACAACAUCGGUGCCUAAUGGCCCUCUCUCAAUGGAUACUGACGCU